rnacentral:rRNA from 1 species
AACGGACGCUGGCGGCAUGCCUAACACAUGCAAGUCGAACGAGACCUUCGGGUCUAGUGGCGCACGGGUGCGUAACGCGUGGGAAUCUGCCCUUGGGUUCGGAAUAACUUCGGGAAACUGAAGCUAAUACCGGAUGAUGACGUAAGUCCAAAGAUUUAUCGCCCAAGGAUGAGCCCGCGUAGGAUUAGCUAGUUGGUGAGGUAAAGGCUCACCAAGGCGACGAUCCUUAGCUGGUCUGAGAGGAUGAUCAGCCACACUGGGACUGAGACACGGCCCAGACUCCUACGGGAGGCAGCAGUGGGGAAUAAUUGGACAAUGGGCGAAAGCCUGAUCCAGCAAUGCCGCGUGAGUGAUGAAGGCCUUAGGGUUGUAAAGCUCUUUUACCGGAUGAUAAUGACAGUACCGGGAGAAUAAGCUCCGGCUAACUCCGUGCCAG